GUUUGGAACCAUGUCAUGCUUGAAAACAAUACUAAUAUGUUUUUCGUUCAUUCAUAUUUCAAAAUUGAUUCAGUGCAAAGUAAUAUUAGUUGUAGAUUCCGAUGAUCUAGAUCAGCUAGCUCAGGCACUAGAUCCAAUUGAAGAAACUCAACCGUUAGUUAAAACGCAAAAAGUUUCCGGUGUUAAAAGAAUUGUUCCUCAUGAAUAUAAAACGCCGGCGUUCGAAUACGACAACUACUUGAAGGCAAUAUUUAAGCCUCAUUACAGAGUGCACAAAAAACUGCCUAUUAUAAAUAGAAACAAGCUCCAGCAUAUUUACAAAUUAUUGUUCAAACCCAAAAUAUAUAAAGGCCGGAAUCCGAUCAACCCCAUCUUGAACUUAGCGAAACAAAACCGUCGACCUAUAUUGAGAGAUCCCCUGGAAGGCAAAGUCUAUGACCCUGCUCAUGCUCCAAGUAACAAGCCGGUGGAAGUAGAAUAUCACGCGGACCCGUCAAGGCCUCUGAAAAAAGAAUCACAAUAUAAUUUUCCAUACUUCUCUAUUUAUAAUUAUUGGACGUACGACAAGGAUCUAUUCCAAGAUCGCUGUCCGUUAAACCAUGCAUUGCAUGGCAAAGUCUGCAUCGCCAGUCCACACAUACAAACAUAAAUAUUCCUUCGAUUCAAAUUAAAUGAAAUAAAACAUGAAUGACAAGUUGCAUCAGCCACAGUUAGACAAACAAAUCAACGUCAUGCACUCACGUAGCAGAAGUCUAUGGAAAUACGCCCAUUCGAUUUUUUUAACUAACGCUACAUUUGUACGACAAGGCUGUGUUACAAGACCGCUGUCCAAAAAACCUAGUAUUACAUGGCAAAGUCUGCAUCUACAGUCCACACGUACAUACAUAAAUAUUCCUUCGAUACAAUUACUUAAAUGAAAUAAAACAUGAAUGUAAGUAUUA